AGGAUGAACGCUAGCGGCAGGCCUAAUACAUGCAAGUCGAACGGUGGUAGCAAUAUCAUAGUGGCGCACGGGUGCGUAACACGUAACUAACCUACCUAUAACUGGGGGAUAGCCCGCCGAAAGGCGGAUUAAUACCGCAUAAGCUGUUGAGGUGGCAUCACCUUAUUAGUAAAGAUUUAUUGGUUAUAGAUGGGGUUGCGGGUCAUUAGCUAGUUGGUAGGGUAACGGCUUACCAAGGCGACGAUGACUAGGGGAGCUGAGAGGCUGGUCCCCCACACGGGCACUGAGAUACGGGCCCGACUCCUACGGGAGGCAGCAGUAGGGAAUAUUGGGCAAUGGGCGAGAGCCUGACCCAGCCAUGCCGCGUGCAGGAUGAAGGCUUUCUGAGUCGUAAACUGCUUUUGACAGGGAAGAAUAAGGCUUACGUGUAGGCUGAUGACGGUACCUGCAGAAUAGCACCGGCUAACUCCGUGCCAGCACGCCGCGGUAA
rnacentral:rRNA from 1 species